GAUGAACGCUAGCGGCAGGCUUAAUAUAUGCAAGUCGAGGGGCAGCAUGAUUGUAGCAAUACAAUUGAUGGCGACCGGCAAACGGGUGCGGAACACGUACACAACCUUCCAACAAGUGGGGGAUAGCCCAGAGAAAUUUGGAUUAAUACCCCGUAACAUAGCGAUGUGCAUCACAUUGCUAUUAUAGAUUUUUCGCUUGUUGAUGGGUGUGCGGCUGAUUAGAUAGUUGGCGGGGUAACGGCCCACCAAGUCUACGAUCAGUAGCUGAUGUGAGGGCAAGAUCAGCCACACGGGCACUGGGACACGAGCCCGACUCCUACGGGAGGCAGCAGUAAGGAAUAUUGGACAAUGGACGCAAGUCUAAUCCAGCCAUGCCGCGUGAAGGAUUAAGGUCCUCUGGAUUGUAAACUUCUUUUAUAAGGGACGAAAAAAGGCUUUUCUAAGUCGUCUGACGGUACCUUAUGAAUAAGCACCGGCUAACUCCGUGCCAGCCGCCGCGGUAAAAC
rnacentral:rRNA from 1 species